CUAUAUCUUGAUGCUGCUGAAAACAACAAGGCAUCAACUGCCUUCUCAUUUUUUCUGGAGGGUGUUAACAAACACGGAUGGCCUUCAAGAGUACGUGGUGACCAGGGAGUUGAAAAUGUGGAUAUUGCACGUUGCAUGUUCUCAGUGCGAGGAACUGGUCGAGGUAGCUUCAUUUCCGGAAAAAGUGUUCACAAUCAAAGAAUUGAGCGCCUGUGGCGUGAUGUUUGGUCAGCCGC